GCGGAUAUGACGGAAUUGGGAGACGUACUGGAUUUAGGCUCCAGCGGAUAUAAUUUCUAUGUAGGUUCGAGUCCUACUAUCCGUA
rnacentral:tRNA from 1 species